GAAGGUAUGGCUCAGUGGUAGGGCGCAUACUUAGCAUGCGUGAGGUCAUGGGUUCCAUCCCCAGUAGCUCUG
rnacentral:tRNA from 1 species